UACGUAGGGGGCAAGCGUUGUCCGGAAUCAUUGGGCGUAAAGAGCGUGUAGGCGGCUUGGUAAGUCCGCUGUGAAAGUCCAGGGCUCAACCCUGGAAAGCCGGUGGAAACUGUCAAGCUUGAGUCCGGAAGAGGCGAGUGGAAUUCCUGGUGUAGCGGUGAAAUGCGCAGAUAUUAGGAGGAACACCAAUGGCGAAGGCAGCUCGCUGGGACGGUACUGACGCUGAGGCGCGAAAGCGUGGGGAGCAAACAGG
rnacentral:rRNA from 1 species